UUUUUGAGUUAUACCAGUUUGUACAUAGUUAUAUUUUGACAGUGAAAUCGAAAAAACUAGUUGUACGACAUAAAAUUUAAACUUACCUCAGUUGUACCACUUCAUUAUGUGUACAUGUCUGUGCUCCAAUAAAAUGAAAUCAUAAAUUUUGUUAAAAUACAUUUCAUGUAUGUUUUCCAAAAAUUAUGUGGACAAAGAAGUUAACAAACCUUAAAAGUAUAAGGUAGAUUAUGCAAACUUAUGUGAUUGUGUUAGAUUUGCAAAAAAAAAAAAAAAACCCCAUGAAAUAUCAUAAGGAACCUUUAUAAAUACUUUACAAUUUAGCCACUUUAUUGAUUUUUUUCAUAUGACAUACUCGAAGGAAUAUUUAAAUUUCAGAACCUGAGUAGUUGUACUAGUUA
rnacentral:lncRNA from 1 species